rnacentral:rRNA from 1 species
AGAGACAGCAGUAGCCGCGGUAAAACGUAGGUGGCAAGCGUUAUCCGGAAUUAUUGGGCGUAAAGCGCGCGUAGGCGGUUUCUUAAGUCUGAUGUGAAAGCCCACGGCUCAACCGUGGAGGGUCAUUGGAAACUGGGAAACUUGAGUGCAGAAGAGGAAAGUGGAAUUCCAUGUGUAGCGGUGAAAUGCGCAGAGAUAUGGAGGAACACCAGUGGCGAAGGCGACUUUCUGGUCUGUAACUGACGCUGAUGUGCGAAAGCGUGGGGAUCAAACAGGAUUAGAUACCCCAGUAGUCCCUGUCUCUUAUAC